GCACUGCUGACGAGUCUCAAACAGGACGAACAGCUGUCCAGUGC
rnacentral:hammerhead_ribozyme from 1 species